ensembl:misc_RNA Metazoa_SRP Metazoan signal recognition particle RNA
GCUGGGCAUGUUGGCACAUGCCUGUAGUCCCAGCUACUUGGGAGGCUGAGACAGGAGGAUCACUUGAUCCCAGGAGUUCCAGGUUUCAGUAAACUAUGAUCAUGCCAUUGAACUCCAGCCUUGGCAACAGAGUGAGACCCUGUCUCUA